CGCCCAGGAUCCCUUGCGGGCGUCUCCAGCCCCGGGGCAGCCGACGGUGCUGGCUGGCGGCAGCCAAGGCGUGCUGCGUUGGCCCGGAGGCUGGCAGACGCACCCGGCAGGCGCUGGGCCCAGCCACAUGAAAGGCAGAGCGCUCCACCCGCCAGCUGCCUUUAGCUGGGUUCUGACGCCGCCGUCAUGCACCCCAAGACCGGGCCAUCGAAGGGCCGCCUUCCUCCCCAGGCAUAGGGAUCAGGCUGUCCUUAAGGAGCUCCAGCCCCGGGGCCGGGUGGCCCACAAGUGGGAGCACACGGUUUCCCCUGCCAGGCUCCCAGGUUCCCAGGCUCCAAGACGAAGACGCGCACCAGCACCGAGGCUUUGCUGACUGACCGCUUGUCUCUUAAUUCUUGCCUGACAUAGACAUUCCCUGCCCAGGGAAGUGUUUGAUUUAUGUUGAGGUUUGAGUGUCCGGAUUUUGCUGACAGGUGGGGAAACUGAGGUGCAGAGAAGGAAAGUGAUUUGCUCAAGGUGAAUGGUGGAGCUGGGACUUGAACCUGGGCCGGAAUUACUCCAGAACAUCUGGCAGCCACAAUCUGGUAUACAAACGUGCUGGAAGCCUUGUUGGUGAAGCCGUGCCUCGACGGUGAUGAGACCCAGGUCUGCCCAUCUGUCAUAGCAUCUCAGACUCUUCUGGAAGGACCUCCUGAUCAUCUUCUAGUCCGACAGCUAGGACCACUGCCUCGCAGGGAGUAUAGGUAACUUGUCUGAGCCGGUCCUGGGAAGGGCAGAGCUCAGCCUUUCGGUCCUUGUCUGUGGGAAAGAGGCCAGUUCUAGCAGUAGAGCUUGUUAUGGGGGACUCGGUUUCCCAAUCAUUGUCAUGACCAAUGACCGGUAACCAUGAACUCUUCCCUCCUUUUCCUUCUGUCCAGCAAGUGCAGCAUCCCAAUGCAGCCAGUCGUGAAGAGAACAUUUCCAUAGGAAUUCUGCAAUAUGGAUUUCCUCUCCAGGCCCCAGUCCAGUCCAAGCCAGUUCCUCUUCUGGCUGGGAAGUUUCUUUCCUCUUCCCACUUCCAUGAAACUAUUAGGCUCAGCUCAAGCCCACUCCUUUCUCCCUUCUCCUCCUACCUUCCUCAGGCAGUAGCUCUCUCUUCUUCAUAGCUCCUGGCUCUACCGCCCCAUCCCCACCUCCACACCCCUGCUGGACCCCAGUCCCUCAGGAAUUCUCUAGAGUCACAUCAGGGAAUCCCACAGAUGCAUCCUGGACAACACAGGAAUGCCAAAGACAUCCCAGGCAAAAAAGGUUCUGGGAUCAAACCAUUUGGGCAAAGCUGCACACCAGACCUUCUUCUUCAAAAUUAAUGUGCAGUCAAGUCCUUGGAAAGGCUAGCAGUCAGGAAACUGUUUUGUUUGCUUUUUCAACCCAGGGUUUCUGGAACUGUGAUAACCACAUAAUCAUCUUCCCUGUCCCUACCGCAUACCUGUGACAACAGGAAAAAACCAGUGAUCUACUGGAGAACACACUUCCGAAAAUUCUACCCCAGCCUUCCGCCUGAGUUUGCAGUUAAUCUCGCUUUCACUGAUUUCAGCCUUUCCUUUUUCUUGGGGCUAAUCUCACAAAAUAAUCUAAGGCAAUGUCAGCCGAGUAGAGUCUUCAAGAAACAUAUACUUGAUGGGGAUGAAGAUUUUCUUAAGACUUGAUUAUGAUGCCCAGAAUACAUCAAGGAUUUUCUAGAAUGUGGGAGGAAGGGGAGUAGAAUUUGAAAUAACAGCAGAUCGUCUUUACCCAAUUUUUAUUAGUUUCCUAGUCAGAGGACCAAAGCCAGGGAUGGAAAGUAAUGGAGAAUAAUCAAACCAGACCUUGGUCACAGACAGAUUGUUUUUGAGUGAAUGAGUGAACAGACUUUCUGACUGGUCAGAAGGUUGGGAGGCUGUGAAUGAAUGCCUGCACGUACGUGUGAAUGAAUGAAGGAAGAUUGAAAAACUGGUCCCCAGAUUAGAAACUGCCACCCAUGUUCAAUGGAAGAAGCCAGACAUAAACAGAGGACACUGUGAAUGUUUCUACUUAUAUGAAGGUCAAGAACAGAUCAAGCUACUCUACUAUGGAAAACACAGAGCUGUGGUUGCCUUUGUAGAGUAGGCAUUGACUGGAAAGGGGAAAAAGGGCUUUGGGGUGGAUAGAAAUAGUUUCUCUCUUGAUUCCGGGGAUGGUUACACUAGUGUAUACUUUUGUCAAAAUUCACCAAAUUGUACAUUUAAGAUCUGUGCACUUACCUGUAUUGUCCAUUUCAUCUAAAAAUAAAAAUCUUACCACUUA